UGGGCACGGAUAGAGAAAGCUGAAUUAGAUCAAAGCUGAGAGUGACACCUAUAUGAUUGUCCAUGUUAGAAGUGUAAGAAGCAGCUCUAGCAGGCCUGUUAUGGAUGCCACAUUGGAAGACAGCCUCCACUCCCAGACGAGCUGUUUGACUGCGAGCCCCACAGACUAAUGGAGCCCUUCACCAUGACGCCCUUUCACAUCUCAACCUGUAUUUCAAACCUGCAUGUAAAACGGGCCACAGGGUUCAUUUUCUCUGGAAUGCAGGUAGUGAUGCUUUUAGUACACUCAGUUCUUGGUCUGACGUGGAUCAGUCAUAGCAGCUCGUUUUGUCAUGAAAAUCAGGCACCACUGUUAUUCCAUUUAUCACAGGUUACACAUGAGGUGAAGAUAAAGAAUAAAACUUUGAUUCUAAAUAUCUGAUGUUCAGUGCUUGCUCUGUCUGCAUUUGGAAAGUGAGUCAUAACACCUAGUCAAAGAUAGAGCUAGUCUUCUUUGUAUGUCUGGAGUCAUAACAAUUGUGGUCUGAUGUUUUGCAAUGUGUUCAUUGGAGAUUUAGAGCAACACCUGACACUGAGUCAUGUGGAUUCUUCCAUAGCCUAGAUGUAUCCUCUGUGGGACACUUGUCACUUUCACAGUGGGUAUCUGAGGACAAUACACCAACAAAACCAUACAGUUUUCAACAUUUUAACAUGAUGUACUUACAUUAUGAGUCAAACAUGAGGAAUUUAUAGACUUAUUUACCACACAGUUUUCAGUGGCUUAGACCGACAUUGUCAUUGUCAUACCAUCACUCUCUUCCUUAUAUCCUGGUUUCACCCAAACUUCUUGGAAUGAAAAUGUGUUUCUAUCCAAUACUCUGAGAAAUAUAAAUCUAUACAAUGCCACAGAUAACAACUAUGUAUAAUAUUUAUCAAAAUUCUACUACUAUACUAAGAAAUUAGGACAGGUUCGACUUACAUAUUUAAUUGUCCACAAUUAUAUUAAACCCUCAGGACCCCAAGACCAACCUGAUCAUCUGAAAGUCAUGCUAUCUUUAAAAAAACAAACAAAUAAAAACACAAAAAUGACACCGUUUGUCAGAGUCAAAAACUGUAACAACAAAAACAAUCCUUGGAUUUUACACUUUUGGAUUACCCCUUAACCAAUCAUGUGUGACAUGUGGAUUAAUCAUUAAAAUUAACCAUAUCUAAGCCUAAAAUCAUAAUAUUUCAUUGAUGUUUCUUUAUUCCACGUGGUGUUCAAAAAAUUGCCAAAAAUAAACCGUUAGCACUUAGCAGAUUUAGUAAAAAAUAAUAAAAUUCUGCAUUCAUUGGUGCAACUAAAAACCUAUGAAUAACUCACUAACUGUGACCAACAGUCACGUGACAAAAACUCAGACUAUUCAGCUGAACUACAGGCUGUGUUUACACAGAGCAGAAAGGAGAAAAGUCUGGAAACAAAUUGGAGAGGCUGAGAGCAAAAUAGAACAUACUUAAUCAAUAAAUAAACGCAGCACGGCCCAUUAACUGUAUACAGAGGAACCAAUUGUUAGAAAGUUGUUGGACGAUACAUUCAGCAUGGAAAAAUAUCAUUCUAGAGUUGACGCCAAGCUUGUAAAGGUUUCAAAAAUGUGAGACGUAAAAUAUAUAUAAUACGCAUAAUAUUCUUUUUCCAAUACUAGUUGAAGCUGUGGGCACCUGGAAAAUGUUAUACAUGUUGAUUCCAGGUGCUUUAGUUUUUUGUAAAAUAAGUCUCCAAAGAAAUUCAACUUUCAUUUUUCCUUUUUGUAUAAUCUAUAGAAGUUUAUCAUACAGACAGAAGAUAUUUUUGAGCUCUUUCCAUUUCGAGCUAUGGUCAUGUUGUUUUCAUAGAUGUUCAGGAAUUUAUAUUGCAGUGAAAACUGAGCCUAGAAUGAAUAUAAAUGUGACAAGAGCGAAAAAAAAAAAACACCCAGAAACUGCUUGGACUUGAGAGUGCUAUGAUCGCCUUUUAUAUUCCAUUGGUUUUGCUAUCUGACACACUGUUUGCUCUUUUAUAUCAUGUACUUCAUUGUACGUUAUUAUGUCCCUCUAUACCCUGUGUGCUGUGCUCUUAUUUUAUAUUUCUGUAUUAUAUGUUUAAUAUGCUGCUGGUUUCUUGAAUUUCCCUCUGGAUCAACAAAAUACUUAACUGACUACCAUGUUAUACAUCACGCACUUUUAUGUUAUGUUAUAUUUGCGCUUUGAUGUUUUGGUUUUAAUCUGCUUAAAAUUUAUUCCUGUUAUUUUUUAAUGCUUGUUUGAUGUGUGCAUAAUAGUUCUAGCAUCAGCUGUCAGCAUAUUAGGCAAAAAUAGCAAAAAGUGUGUCUGAUAAAUUCUCUGUCCCAUGAAGGCUGUAUUAAACUACCAUUACGUUCA